rnacentral:rRNA from 1 species
UUGCCAGCCCGCUCAGAAACUUAAAGGAAUUGACGGGGGCCCGCACAAGCGGUGGAGCAUGUGGUUUAAUUCGAUGAUACGCGAGGAACCUUACCUGGGCUCGAACGUAAGAUGACUGUAGGUGAAAGCUUACAUCUCUUCGGAGCAUUUUACGAGGUGCUGCAUGGUUGUCGUCAGCUCGUGCCGUGAGGUGUCGGGUUAAGUCCCAUAACGAGCGCAACCCUACCUUUAGUUGCCAUCAGGUAAUGCUGGGGACUCUAAAGGAACUGCCUACGCAAGUAGUGAGGAAGGCGGGGAUGACGUCAAAUCAGCACGGCCCUUACGUCCAGGGCUACACACGUGCUACAAUGGCCGAUACAGAGGGCAGCUACCUGGUGACAGGAUGCAAAUCUCCAAAGUCGGUCUCAGUUCGGAUCGGAGUCUGCAACCCGACUCCGUGAAGUUGGAUUCGCUAGUAAUCGCGCAUCAGCCAUGGCGCGGUGAAUACGUUCCCGGGCCUU